rnacentral:rRNA from 1 species
UGGGGAAUAUUGGACAAUGGGCGCAAGCCUGAUCCAGCCAUGCCGCGUGAGUGAUGAAGGCCUUAGGGUUGUAAAGCUCUUUCACCGAUGAAGGUAAUGACGGUAGUCGGAGAAGAAGCCCCGGCUAACUUCGUGCCAGCAGCCGCGGUAAUACGAAGGGGGCUAGCGUUGUUCGGAAUUACUGGGCGUAAAGCGCACGUAGGCGGAUAUUUAAGUCAGGGGUGAAAUCCCGCAGCUCAACUGCGGAACUGCCUUUGAUACUGGGUAUCUUGAGUAUGGAAGAGGUUAGUGGAAUUGCGAGUGUAGAGGUGAAAUUCGUAGAUAUUCGCAGGAACACCAGUGGCGAAGGCGGCUAACUGGUCCAUAACUGACGCUGAGGUGCGAAAGCGUGGGGAGCAAAACAGGAUUAGAUACCCUGGUAGUCCACGCCGUAAACGAUGAAUGUUAGCCGUCGGCAAGUUUACUUGUCGGUGGCGCAGCUAACGCAUU